rnacentral:siRNA from 1 species
AUACAUGAACUGGUUGCUUCCG